GAAUAUUAAAGCUAUCAUAUCUGCAGUACAAAUAUAUAAACAUUGUGUGCAUUUUAAAACACUCAUAGCAUUAUUUUACAAAUAUAAACAUUGGGUAAACCUGUGACAUAAUUUAGCCAGAAUUCGUUUCGGGGGACAAGGGACCAUGGUUCUGCGAACUUCACAUGGGAUAAGGACACUCUGUGGCCACAAAAAGAAAAAGGUAGGAGAUUUCCUAAAAUUUGGUUGAGAGUUCUUUUCCCUGUGAGGUGGUGCGGACUACUGCUCUCUGUCCUCUUCGAAUCAGUUGGUUGUGUCAGACCGCCUCACGCUGCUACAUGCGUGAGACUAUGUGAGAAGCUAUAGGCUGGGUGCAGGAAAGCACUGGCCAGUAGCGUGGGGAGACAGCCGGGCCCGGGUUGUGAUGUGUUUUUUAGGCUGAAUGCCUGGUGAUAAAAGAUUCUGGUUAAUUUUUGGGAUAACAAGGGGAGUGGCAGGCACGAGUGUGUCUGUCCAUUGUUGAACUGUGAGUAUGGGCAAUUUUUUGUUUUAUGAGCUCUGACAGAUACAGAUUGGCUUGAUGAGCAGGAGAUAGAAAAAGAGGUCAAUAAGGGUAGGCCGAAAAGCCUAUUCAGGGAUCCCAAUUGAACAAGCACGUCCCAUAUCUCCUGACCGAUUGUAGAAGAAUCACAUAAAUUGGAAAAAUCACACAAAUUGGAAAAAUUGAAGAAAUCAAAACAAGAAUUAAAAUAGAAGACUGCUGACUGACUCCAGUGACUGACUUUGACUUCAAACACGUGUGAAAGGGUAUACCAUUGUGUGAUGAAUAAGUGAAGUGUGUGGGUUGAUUGGAUGGUUGUGUGUGUCUGUUUUGUUCUGUGUCAACUAAGUUCUCUGGCAGAACUGUUCACAGUCAGACUCUGCACCUGUGUGUGUGUUAUGUUAGUCAAAGAUUGCUGUGUUCCACACUUGUGUUUAUUUCAUAGUUGUUUAUGUGAAUACUGUGCUCAUUGCGGUCAUGUUAUCAGUUGAGACAUAGAAGGUUAAAUACUCCUGGGAAAGAGGUUCUGUUCCCAGUACCAUGAUGAACACUCCUGAUAUAAAGGUUUUAGCUUAUGCUUAAAUAUUAUGAUGGUUUUUUGUUGUGAACACGUCUUAUGCUACUUAACAAAUUUUCUGUGUUAAAGCUGCUGAAAUAAUGUUUGUAAAAGCAUAAAAGAUACAAAAAGGGAAAAAGCAAUGAGGUACCACAAGUGCAAAACUUCUAAAAAACUUCAAAUCUAAGAGUUGCUUCUAUACAUCUGCUGUUUUUGCCAGAACACUGUGUUUUUAAAAUAUUAUUGAAGCUGUUAAUAUCAAUACUGACUAUUGCUAUAGAACUGCAGUUGAGGCAAAAGCUUUAUACUGUGUAUUUUUGGGGAAUUUUACAAAACUGCUGAUCAAGUUUUAAUGUGUGUGCUCAGUUGAAUAAUAAAGUUUACAAAAAGCACGACCAGAAAGGGAAGAUUAGAUACACGUUGGUAGGGUGUAAAUAUACUGAACACUUAAAUGAUAUCCAAAAACUUACAAAGAAAUGGGAACAUUGAAUCAAGGGGUUUGAAUCUUUAUGACCUAGGGGAGGCACAUCUAAUGUGGCUGUGUGUGAGGAUUUGGAGCAGCGAAUCUAAGACCAUAAACAUAAAGAAAAGUAAAACACGCAAAAACAAGAAGAUAUGGAACUAAAAGGACCGGACAUGUUUAACUCAGCACUUAGAUUUUGGUCCUUUUUAUACUUUAGAGUCCAAUUUUAGAUUUUAAGUCAUACUGGGACCUUUUUGAACCUGAUUUUAACGUUCUUCUUGUGUAUUUGCUCUUUAAAUGCAUUACUUUUCUCUUUGUAAAUCAUGCUCUGAUCUUCUGAACUAUUAAAUAAGAAUAGAAUAAAAACUAAAUUUUUUCUAUCUUAGGUUGCCUUUAAAAUUAUUUAUUUAUUAUUAUUAUUAGUUUAUCUCUUUUGAAUUUCCAAAUGAUUUAAAAUCAUUGCUAUUUUUUCUCCCAUAUGUUUUGAAAAGGAAAUUGACAGUUUUAGUGAAAUUUUGAUCCUGUUUGACCCUGAGGCUAGACUUAAAUCCAGAUUAUGCCCUUUGCUGUGGUUGAGUUUGACACCCCUGGCCUAGAUUAUGUUCACUUGGAAAUGCACUGAUAGUAUGUUUUCAAUCUUAAUAAAUGGCACACAGGCUAGCUAUGUGCUGUGGAAAACCACACACCUUGUUGGGCUGGUUGCCAGACUACCACAAACUGAACAAGGGGCAGGGAGAUGGAUACGAGUUUUUGAGGAUGAACUGUAGGAAAAUGUUGACUACACCAGACAUGAAAGCACUCUUGGCUAAACUGCUGGGAACUAAGACGAUGGAGGAGUUUCUGCGCAAGGCAAAACAAGGUUGAAUGACGAAUCCCAUGACUGAUGGGAGUGAGUUCAAUGCAUAUUGUGAUGUGAGGUGGAGCGGAAGUUGAAACAGCCACCUCUAAGGGGACACGGCAAAAGAGACCCAGCGAUGCAGACCGUGCAGACGCUAACUGCGGUAAAACCUGUGACAGUAACCUGUUUAAUCACCUGUUGUGAAUGUUUAUCCUCAGACAGAACCCUGCUCCAUAGAGAGGAUAUAUCCCGGCAGGGGGAGAGAGUGGAAUUCUGACGGACGUGUGACGUCUAAAGACCUGCUGGGGAUGGGAUCAUACCAGACAUUUUUGACAACUGCCCAGACCAGGGACGUCUCUGGCUGGAUCGGUGGUGGGGGGCCCCAGCCCAGACAAUGUGAAAGUGGUGGCUUACUACAGUGUGAUUUUUGUGGAUGAUGGAAAAAGUUAGUUGUUAGUUUUAAUUUUAACCCUGUUGACCUUAUAGACCGAAAGGACCUAUGUAGAAGUAACAUUCAAAUUUGGUGCUCACCGCGAGGUGUGUAAGUAGACAGUUAUGGUUUAUAGUUUUAAGUAAAUAUCGUGACAUUAGCAUUGUAACAUCCCUGUUCUGUUAGUUUAAUACUGAUAAAUCUAAAUGCAGCUGUGCUGAAUCCACAUACACUCCUCACAGAUGUGCCACCUAAUGUAAAAGUAAUAGGAAGCUAUCAGGGGUCAAUAAGGCCACAGAAAAUGGUUUAGAGUCAAAUAACUAGUUUUUGUACCAGUAGUAUUAACAAACAAACUAGGAUCUGACUUUCACAGUGAUUCACACUGUGAAAGGGGGGAGAUGAUGAGACAAUUAAAACGACAUUCUUAGAAUAUGCUGACGAGAGCUGAUAAACUCUUGGGUCAUUGUGAUAUGCGUUUUGUUAGAUGAAUUGAAGAGAACAAUAAAACGGAAGUGAGACACUUUUCCAGUUCCAGAGAGACGGUUUUAGACAUCUAUUUAUAGGCAAUGUGGACAUGAUUAAAACUGCCAAGGCAUAUGUUACAUGUUUGUAAUGAUGACGGGGUCAGUCGAUGGAUAGAAGCAACACCAUCAAAAGAUCUUGGAGUCAAAAUAAAUCUGUCAUUGCAUGAUUUGGUACAUCAUUUUGGGGAAGAAAGUUAAUCUCUCAAGUAAAUAUCUGAUCAGAGAAGUUGCACUAACACUAACCUAUAGGAAGAUGCUUUGCUACUUGCGCUUAUGAGCUUUCACAAUCAAAAGCACUGAGAUAAAUCUUCCACUGCAUGAUUGACUAACUUACAAAGCUAUGCUUUACUGCGGCUAAAUAAUUAAGGUUUUCGCUUGAGCAGCUGGAAAUUAGUGAAUUAAAUAGAUGAGGCAUCUAACUACGAUGCAAAGAUCUAUCGGUUAGCAGGAGGAGUGCCAAAAUCUGAUCCCAGUCAAGAGGUGGAGGCCAGUCGAGCCAGAGCACCAGGUGUACAUCACCGUCCUUUGAGGAGGGUGGCAAAAAGAACGAGGAGAAGACCUGAGCACUUUGGUCCUGGUGAACUCUACUUCAGUGCAGGAAGUGGCACGAACCACGACGGGAAGGACCGUACACGGUGGUGCGAGCUACUCCCACAGCAGUCCUGGUCGAAAGGAGCGGGACGUGGUAUCACCUGUCACGCUGCACGAAGGUUCCAGGCAAAACCAAGGGCGGUAUUGAGUUGAAAAACAAAGAUGAAAAACAUGACAUUGUGGUGUGUGCUGGUGGUAAUGAACUCUCUUCUAUGGAUGCCUGUAGAAGCAGUGGAGCUAGAGACUCAAAGGGGAAAACAGAGCACCCCGGGGACCAGAGCCACGCCAGAGACCAACCCGCACGACAGAGGAGACAGAGCAUCUGAAUCAGAUGAGUAUGAUGCAACCACACAGACACCAAUCCAUGACGUGCUAAACUCUGAGCCAGCACUCUCAGCUGAGCUCAAACACAUAAACAUUCCAUACCAAAACAUAACUGUUAACUGUAAAAUUACGUGGGUAUUGUCAUGGUUUCCUGAAGCUAAUAUGAGCGAACCGUUCUUAACCAGACCUGUUUGGUUUGAAAAUCCAGAGCAAACAUUAGAUCAAACAUGUGAAAACAUAACUAUGACCAGACCGAGUAUGCAUUUCUUUCGCAAGUCAAACUGUUGCAGUAGCUGGCAGUUACUGGAUGUGUGGAGACAACAUUGCGCGUAACACACUUCCACCAAAAUGGAUUGGACUCUGUACAUUAGUGCGAAUGAAAGUGUCAGUUGUUGUGUGUAUGACGGCGGCGAGGAGAUCCUUAAAAUCCAGGAAGAAACAGCCAAAUUGAGCCGCCAUAAAAGGCAGAUUGACGAAAAGGUGUACAUCAAUAGUAUAGGAGUGCCAAUAGGAAUUCCAGAGGAGUUUAAAGCUCAGGAUGAGAUUAGAGUAGGUCUAGAGUCGAUUCUCCCUUGGAUCACCACUAAUAAAAAUGUCCAAUGGAUAAAUUACAUUUAUUACAACCAACAGAGGUUUGUUAAUGCGACAUCUGAGAUCCUGAGCGCUCUCGGUAUUCAAUUACACGCAGCAAGUAUAAUGGCCCAACAAAAUAGACAGGUUUUGAAUUGGCUGACAGCGGAUAGGGGAGGAGUAUGUCACAUGUUCGGGAAACAUUGUUGUACCUUUAUUCCAAAUAACACAGCCCCUGAUGGUAUAUUUUCUGUGGCAAUGGGGAAGCUUACAGAACUCAGAGUUGAGCUCAGGGAGAGUGCGGGCAAGGGGGGACUGUCAUGGGAUUGGUUAGACCAAAUUUUAGGAAAAUGGGGAGCCGUUUGGGCUAAGAUAGGACUCAGUGCAUUAGCAGUCCUAAUUCUAAUUUCCUUUUUGACAUGUUGCAUCAUCCCCAUCCUGAGGAGGCAGUGUCUGCGGGCUCUGGACAGACAGAUGAUUGUGGCGACUGGUCUCCAAAAAGCUCAAAUGUUGGACUUGCUGACGCCGUCCCAAAUGGCACAACUCUGCUUGGACGACAGCAAGGCGGGAAACGGGGACUAUACGGACUUGUACCCGAACCCUGCCUGUGUGGGUGACUAUGAUGAGGACGAACUGAGUCAAGUGUAAGGUAAACAAGAAGCAGAGGUGCAGCAGCAGCGAGCGAGCAAAAGGAAAAGCAAAUGGGACGGCGGAGCAAAUGGACUAUCAUAUCACUACACGCAUAUUCUGUUACUAUCCAGGUGUAUUCUGCAUAAUGGACUAUCAUACCAAUACACACAUAUCCUGCAGUUAUCCAUGUGUACUCUGCAUACUCACAUCAUUUACACAUACCCAUUCCAGGUAAAUGGAAACAGGUAAAGGAAAUGGUUAAUCAUUUUUUGAGCAAUAAAACAUGUGGUUGAUUGUCAUGUAGAGUGGGUCAGUGAAAAGCUGUUAAGAUUUAGAAGGUUCACGGUAAAGGUCGCCAGCGGGAGGGGCCGCAGGGGAAUUUCCUGCUCAAAGCAGCCAGCAGGUUUUCGCCCCUGCCAGAUGUGAACCGAGGGAUCUAAGUGUUGUAUUUGUGAAAAUGUAACAUUCGUGAUCACAAGCAUGAGUUGGAUUGGUUUGAAAACAUACAUAUGCAUCUGUAAUCAAUCAAGUAGUACCAUAUCACAUAACGCUGUCAUAACUCAUUCAUGUAACGUAACUAAGGCUAAGACAAGAUAAGUGUGAAUCUCCAACGGCGUCAGUGAACUUGGUUAAUCUUGAAAAGAUUCAAAGGGGGGAUAUGUGGGGGAAAAUAACAGAUAUGUUUGGAUGUUUUGGGGGUUACCAUGAGGCAAGAAAACAGGAUAUGGGUGGAGUGGUCAGAUUGGGAUAAACUUCAUAUCAGGUCAUGGUGACCCUCUCUCAUGGUAGCUUAAUUGCAAUAACAGGAAAUCUGGCUCCAAAAGAUAGUGGCAGAGAAAGUCACGAAGGGGACUUUCGCACGCACAUUUGGCUAAAACUAAGGUCCCUGACGUCAAUGGAGGACUAUAAAAGAUAUGUGGAUUGGCUGUUUUUUGGUUCUGUCUGUUCGAUUGCUCAUGAGCUAUUGUUCGAUGCUGUGAUCGGAAUAAAAACCCCGCCGAGAGGCUGCCAGCU
rnacentral:lncRNA from 1 species